UGCAGGGCUGACUGGUUCCCCUCAACGAGGAUAAAUCCUGGUCAGCCCGUGGAGGGAAAGAAGACACCUUGGUGUACGGCACACAAAUAAAUACAUGAUUUUUUUCAUUGUGGAAAAUAUAAUUUUUGGCGUUUGUAUGGUUGUGCGUACGCACAGAAAAAAUCGUAGCGUGGCUUGAUACAUACGUACACCUCUAUAUAUAUGUGUGUGUAAAUGUACGUACAGGCACCAUUCACCACCAUUCAUCAAUGCCGUUGCCGUCCCAUAUCAUCGACCGAUGCAUAUGCCGUUAUCCCACGCAAAAAAAAAUGUACACACACUUGCAUGAAGUGUUUCGUUCCCCUUUUCACACCGAUGGGAACAUUGAAAACAUGAACAUGGCCGUGAGGCAAUUCAAUUGAAAAGAAAGUGAACUCGAGUUUAAAAAAAAAAUGGAAUAGUUUUUGCCGUACGGAGACAGCCUAAUUCUUCUUCAAUGCACAACCACACGCAACCUCCAAUCGAUGCCCCAGACUAAUGAACAAUUUCUGGCAAGGAAAUUCCGUCUGGCCAGGUAGUGUUAGAGACAUUUAGCAGUGGAAUAUGCAGCGUUUAGCAGAAUAAAAACAACAAUCUACCUGUGGCCUUACGCCAUUAAUUGGACAGCAAAACAUUCGCUGGACAUAAGUACUUGGUUUUAGCAUCGUUGAAGUGGUGUGACCUAACUUGAUGAUUAUUACAUCCACCCUGUUCAUAGACAACGUCUGACAGGUAGCAUCAGCUCGAGAUGGAUUGUGGACAACAAAAUUUCCUCUCAACACCUGAUCGUAAACAGUUGCAGCUCAAUGUGCCAUCCAAAACCCAUGAUUUUGUGACAAUUUAUGAAGGAGUGAAAUAAAUGGAAACAAAGACAACCCGCUACACAGGCCGUCGCACAAUCACACAAUUAUGGACAUCAAUUUUUACUGGAUUGAAGGCAUGUGGUCAAUAUAUCCCCACACUUUCUACCUGGCAUUGUAGUGAACUGGAUUUAUGUACGCCGAAAAGUUACGAGGCAUCAUAAAAAAAAGGACAACAGUGCUGGGGUAAUAAAAAUCGCCGUUUCAUCACCACAUAUUAGAAUGCUCCCUUGGCACUUCGGUUUCUACCACGAUACGGCUGGUUUCACCACAGUAUUAGCAAUUUCGGACUGUAUUUUGGCAUCAACAAUUCAUGGCAUUAAACUUAGCAAUUUUGGCAUCAAAGGUUAUGGCAUAAAACGUUAACCGACUUCCCCCCAGGCCAAUACUUGGAGGAGCCAGUAUUUUCUUCGACUUGGUUGUGGUUAGCUUUGAACUUGGCGAUAUCUUUAAGGAACAACAAAGAGAAAAAACAUUCACACACAUGCCUAACAUUUAAGCGUUAGUUAUAAUAACUUACAUUGUUUUGCACGCACAAAAUACAUAUGUAUAAGCAACACACAAUCAAUAAAAUAAACGUUCUGUUUACAAUUUAA